AUUGAACGCUGGCGGCAGGCCUAACACAUGCAAGUCGAACGAGUGGCGGACGGGUGAGUCAUGUCUGGGCAACUGCCCGAUGGAGGGGGAUAACUCCUGGAAACGGUAGCUACUACCGCAUACCAUCGGAUGUGCCCAGAUGGGAUUAGCUAGUAGGUGGGGUAACGGCUCACCAAGGCGACGAGCCCUAGCUGGUCUGAGAGGAUGACCAGACACACUGGAACUGAGACACGGUCCAGACUCCUACGGGAGGCAGCAGUGGGGAAUAUUGCACAAUGGGCGCAAGCCUGAUGCAGCAAGGCCGCGUGUAUGAAGAAGGCUUUCGGAUUGUAAAGUACUUUCAGCGAGGAGGCGUUACUCGCAGAAGAAGCACCGGCUAACUCCGUGCCAGCAGCCGCGGUAAUAC
rnacentral:rRNA from 1 species